AUUGAACGCUGGCGGCAUGCUUUACACAUGCAAGUCGAACGGUAACAGGGUGCUUGCACCGCUGACGAGUGGCGAACGGGUGAGUAAUACAUCGGAAUGUACCCAGUAAUGGGGGAUAACGCAUCGAAAGGAGUGCUAAUACCGCAUACGCCCUGAGGGGGAAAGUGGGGGACCGCAAGGCCUCACGUUACUGGAGCAGCCGAUGGCUGAUUAGCUAGUUGGUGAGGUAAAGGCUCACCAAGGCGACGAUCAGUAGCGGGUCUUAGAGGACGAUCCGCCACACUGGAACUGAGACACGGUCCAGACUCCUACGGGAGGCAGCAGUGGGGAAUCUUGGACAAUGGGCGAAAGCCUGAUCCAGCAAUGCCGCGUGCGUGAAGAAGGCCUUCGGGUUGUAAAGCGCUUUUGUCUGGGAGCAAAUCCUGGCCUCUAAUACAGGUCGGGGAUGAGAGUACCAGAAGAAUAAGGACCGGCUAACUACGUGCCAGCAGCCGCGGUAAAAC
rnacentral:rRNA from 1 species